CCUGAAGAAAAGACGGGCAAGCUGAGAAGCAUAUCUCCACAUCUCCACAGUUAUGCCUCACAGCCUCUCCAUGAUCCCAGCCCACAAACCCAAAAGGUGCUCAGAAUCACCUGCUGCACGAAUGUGUGUGAAGGCACUAAGGAGAGAAGGGCAGUUCGGGCCUCAUAAAAUUUGCAGUGAGGAGGUAAGGCAUAUUUUGUAAGACUGCCUGAGAAACAGACACUCCACCCUUGAACUGCUUUUUCAGCAGCGUACAUUCCAGUUACUCAUUCUUUGCCUUCUGCAGUAAGUAAACCGAGUACUGCUCAUAAAAUUGUAAAAUGAACUUUCCCAUGAUCAGGGAGAUUGGUUAUAUAGUCUGUGAACCUUAGUCAACCAAACAGAUGCAGACUAACAGGCACAGUAUACAUACUGUGAAUAGCCUCUCUACCUGCAGAAGAGCACAACACAUUCAGGAAAAAAACAUCAUCACAAUGACAGCACCCACACCAAAACCGUGAUGCUCCGACACAGCAGUGCUAUGUGGGAAGCGCUGCAGAUGGCACAGCAAGCAUCACCAAUUGGCAGCACUAAUCAGACCACGGCAACGACAAAAUACGAAAACUCUAGAGAACUACGGCAGACAAGCAUAAUCUAUUUACUGGAGCCUGCGGAAGCCCAGUUACUGCAAGGCUUUGUGACUUCUUGUACGAUUUAGUCAGCAUUUUCAGCUUUUGCAACUCCACCACGGGCCUUGCGACACGGGCAGCUUUUCCUGAAGCACUGGUUAGCAUCAAGCACUGAGAAAGGACGAUCGAGAUCGUACACCUUCGC